GGUCCUGUGGCGCAACGGAUAACGCAUCUGACUACGGAUCAGAAGAUUCCAGGUUCGAAUCCUGGCAGGAUCG
rnacentral:tRNA from 1 species